rnacentral:misc_RNA from 1 species
AGACAUAAUCAUCUUGGAUGAUAAUUUCACCUCUGUGGUGACAGUUUUGAGGUGGGGGAGGUGUGUCUACAACAACAUUCAGAAGUUCAUCCAAUUUCAGCUCACUGUUAAUGUUGCUGCUCUUGUCAUCAACUUUGUUGCAGCCAUCUCUUCUGGUAAAGUCCCCCUUACUGCAGUUCAGCUACUGUGGGUGAACCUCAUCAUGGACACCAUGGGGGCGCUAGCAUUGGCGACUGAGCAGCCCACUGAUGAGCUCAUGACAAAGUCUCCAGCAGGUAGAUCUGAGCCACUGAUUACCAAAAUCAUGUGGAGGAACCUUAUUGCUCAGGCCUUGUAUCAGUUAGUCGUCUUACUGAUUCUACAAUUUAAGGGCAAGUCCAUCUUUGCUGUGGAUGAAAAGGUCAAGAGUACCCUCAUCUUCAACACUUUCGUCCUCUGCCAAGUAUUUAAUGAAUUCAAUGCAAGGAAGUUGGAGAAGAGGAACAUAUUCAAAGGCAUACAUAAGAACAAGUUGUUCCUAGCAAUCAUCGGAAUUACCAUAGUGCUUCAAGUGAUGAUGGUAGAGCUUCUGAAGAGGUUUGCUAGUACUGAGAGGCUGAGUUGGGAGCAAUGGGGAGCUUGCAUUGGCAUUGCAGCUGUAUCUUGGCCAAUUGGUUUUGCUGUGAAAUGCAUUCCGGUUUCUGGCAAAGAAGCUUCCAAGCAAAGAGCUUCUGGAACCUGAAAAAAAGGCACAGAUCAGUUCUAGCACAAGUGCAUACAUAGGCAUUUUAGGUCUAAAUCUAGUGUUUAACGUUCGUUACUGUCAUUGUCAUUAGCUGUGAUUCAAAUUUGUGGAACUAUUGAAUCUAUUUACCAGUUAUUACAUCUUUA